AACGAUUCAUAUUCUAUAAGAGCCCUUGCAAGACGAUUGAAAGCUUUCAGACCAUUAGAUUUUCAGUCACCAUUUUUCUUUCUGACUAUUCAUUUUCCGAUGUUGUAGCUGUCCAUUAGAGGCCAUCCACGGCUCAUAUUCAGAUAGCGUGGCAGAGCUCAACAUGUUGCGGAAAUUAGUUUUAUAUCUUUUGACAUAUAUUCUCCCCUCCAUUCAUUCACAACAUCAUUCUGCUUCAGCAGAUUUCACAAUGGCUAGCGGGCAGAUGUCAUAAGAGCCAGAGUAGGGCUUAGCGGUGAUCACAUCUAUUCAAACUCGAAAUAUUCAAGAACCUUUUCGUUGCCCAUUUGAGAUUGGCAUCGUUGUAAAUGGCAGAUAUAUUAGAGCUUGUGGCUACAAAUUAUCAGCUGCAGAGAUGUGUAACAAGAGAGAUCUUUAUUUUGAGAAAUUAUUUUUUUGUGCCAGAAGAGAGGGCUUUGGAUUUGCACAAAUUUUCCCUUAAUUGGGUAUUAUCUUUAUCCCCAAAAUGGUUCUCGGCAAAUACUGGCCAAAUGGUGGAAUGAGGCAUCCAACUUCUCUGUCUACUCUUUUGCUUCGCCUCUUUUGCCUCCAGCAGCCCUCCUCGCAACUCCAUUUUUCUUGCUAUGGCGUCAGAAGAUGAGAAACGAUUUAGGAAAUUUGAAGCUUUCCUUCUAUAUUUCCAAACCCUAAAAGUUGAGGGAGCCUCAGAAUCGAUUAUAGAGAUAUAUCUAGCUAUGGGAACUUCCCCUGUUUUCUUAUUUUGCAAGGGCACAAAUAAAUCUCAUAUGGCUUUCACUAUUCUCACAAUGCUAGAGAUGGACGAUUUAAAAAGAAUGGGAGAAUGGACGAUUUAUAUAGAGGUUGUGGGUCUAAAGAUGAAGUUUUGAGAUCUUUUCAAAUUUCAUGUAAAGAAGAGUCGGGUUGUGUGGACGGCGUAUGGAAAGAGACUUGUCUUUUCUUGUGUGUCUCAGAAUUCCAAAAAAGAAAUGGAAAAUGUUGCAGGUGUGCGUAUGUAUACGUAUCAUAAUGAAUUAUUUAAAAUUAUUAAAAAAUUUCCCACGAACAAGUCGAUUCAAGCCCUCUUUUAAUUACUUCUUCAUGAAUCUCGAUACCCUAUUCCAGAGCUACCAAUUCAACACAUGCUAAGAGAACCCUAGAAAAAGUUAUGGAAUUUGACUUCACCCCCUGUAGUUGCAUUUGUAUAUAAAGCUUCAAUGCUUUAAUGUUGUGUCCAUUUUGUACGCAUCUUGAAAUUAGGAACAACAUUUUGCACUGUCAUUUUCUGAAAGAACUUUAGGGAUUCUUCAAUCUAUCCAUUCGAGUCAUUGGUAAGUCAUGCAUUUACCAACCAGGGAAAUAGGCUGCGGUAAUCUUCAAGAUCUUUACACACUGACAAUUAUUUAGAAGAAGUGACUUCAUUUUUUUUUUCGUCAACAUUUUUAUUUGCAAUUA